AAAUCCAUCGUCUGUAUUUUUGAAUAUGCGUCCAUAUAUACAUUCAGCAGGAAUGGCAAUUUAGACAACGUACACUUUCUCAAAAUGCAAAAAGGUCUUGUUUCACUGAUUUAGGGAAGGUUAAAAUGAGCCAGUAUUCAAAACAUCCAGCAUUUUUAUUAAUAUUUUAUGUCUAAUUAAGUUUAACAGAGCUGAAUGUCUCAAGCAACGACAACAACAUUCAUAGGUUAUUAUAAGUUUGGAUUUUAUAGAUUUAGAUUUAACUGAAAUUAUCUAAAUUGGAUCAUUUAUUGUGACUGUCGGAAUAUACAACAGGAGUCGGGUGCGCAGUCAGGAUGCAGACUAUAGCCAUUCACCCGUUCCAACACGCAGUCAAGUAAACCCCACAAUCAUCCAAUCGGUGCCGACGUAUGCAUUUGAGAGAGCUGAGACUUUGUCGACAAAGCCUCACUGUUGUCAGAUUUUGUCGACUCCGGUUUCUUCAUCUGAGACUUGCUGGAUGGUGCCCAUGACUUUUCUGACUCCCACCUGGUGGAAUCUUGGUCGGGUUUGUCCUCCCAGGGAGGCCUGGUGUACAGCUGAGACCUUGUGGACGCUCCCUCGGCGCUCUGGGACCGGGGGAACACUGCUCCGACAGGCUGAGUCUUUCCCAUCGGCACCCUGCUGUGAUGAGGGCCUGCCUGGCUGGACCCGUUGGACGAGCGCACCACCAGGUAGCGGACAGAAGGGCUCUUGUCUGUGUCGUGGCCUUUGAUGGGACACGCUGAGCUGAUGAACAAACCCCCGCCGAGGAUGAGCAGGAUGGACGCCCCCCAACCGAUGUAGAGGCAAGCACCCAGCUCUCUGCGCUGAGCGUCGAUAGAGGCACUGUAGAACUUUCUGACCACGGCCCCGGCUGCCCAGGACGUAGGAAUUAAACACAGCAGCCCUGUGGCGAUCAACACGGCCCCUGCUGCUAUCGCCACCUUCCCUUUGACUCCACCCCCUUCCUCAUCCAAAAAGCGAGUGCACUUCCCUCCAAUGAAGGCCAGAAUGAGGCCGAUGCUCCCCGUAGUGAUGGCGAAGACGGUGAGAGCUCUGGCCGCCUGCAGGUCAGGGGUGAGAGCGAGGAGGGAGUCGUACGGCUUGCACUGGAUCUGCCCCGUGCUCUGGACCACACAGGUCAUCCAGAUGCCCUCCCAGAUCGUCUGUGACGUGACAAUGGUGCUGCCCACGAAGGCCGUGACCCUCCACAAAGGCAGCAGGCAGGUGAUGAUGACUCCGGCCCAACCCAGGAGGCAUAGCGCACUGGCCAGCAUCUGCAUCCCCAUGGAGGCCAUGUUGAAGAGCUUUAAAAAGCUGUUUAAGAAAGAAGCACUCGGAUGUUUUUUUUUUAGUCUUUUCUGUAAAGUACCCUUUUGCUUUCACUCCUUGUCUCUCUUCUCACGAGUCUGUCUCUUAUGGCUCUCUCUCAACCAGAGAUCCUGCAGUUUUCAUUUUCUUCCAUUUCUCUGUUUCUCUUACGCUGUUCUUUUUAAAUCUUGACACGGUGUAUCAAGGAGCAGGAGCACACUGACUCUAAAGAGUUGUCUGCCCAGUCUCUGGUGGCUUUUACCUGACAGCAGGUGUGUCUCAGUUCAGCCUCACUUCAUCUGUUUACAGGCUGCUUUUCCUACGACUCAGUCCCUCCCCCUUUAUGUGUCCCUAACUGCUGUCCUUUCCUGUCUGUCCCCCUUUCCCCUCCUCUCCCUCCCGUCUUUUUUUUUUUAUUGUCCUACCUGAGUAUGCUGUUUCUUGACUGUCACCUGAGCGGCUGCCUGUGUGCUACUGGCCAGGUUGCAGAUGCACCACCUAAACUACAGGGAAACAAAAAGGGGAGGUGCCGUUGCUGUGAAACUAUGACAUCACCUACUGUCUUCCCUCCCUCCUCAUCUUUUUUUCAAGCGAUUAUUUUGUGGAGGGUCAGAUGGAUCCGGAAGAGAGCGAUAAGCGUGACAGCAUUAACCGUGUGUCAGGUGCACUCUCACAUGGGGCUGUUUGUCGACUCAAUGCCGAGACAGUUUUAGUUGGAAGUCUAAUGUCAUUCAAACAUAAAUACAUUUUAGAUAAGCGCUAAACACAUCUACGGGCAACUUGAAAGAUGCAAACUGUUAAGAAGCGAAAUAAAGGCGAGAAAAGUGGAACACUAUCUCCUGGGAGUAAACCACUUUCAUUCUGGCAGUAUCUACAGUGCAGAAAAACCAGUUUCAAAUAUGCAAACCCCCCCCCCCCCCCCCCCCCCCGACCACACACAUACACACACACAAGUACUCUGUGCACACAGAGACACACACUACAACUAAUCAGCCACAAAAUAAUCUUCAAUCUCACUGAUCCCGUAUCUCAGUGGGCAAGUUUGUGUGUAGUAGUUGUCAUGGUUUGAAAUAUGUGUUUUAUUACUGUCACAUUAAGUCCCUUAUCACAAACAAAACUAUACUAUAAUGUAAGCAUAUAUAAGGACAUUAUAGUUGCUUACUUAUUUUAAUAAUCAUUCAUUUUCCACGUAUGCACCACCCUUCACAUAUGGGUCUCCAUAUGUUGCAAACUACUUUUAUGAACUGUUUUUGAAAUCAAAUACAGACUCUUCCUGUGGUUUUUUGUUACCAUUCUUGUGCUUUAGCAUGGUUCCCUUGGCAGGACGGACAGACGCAGUGUCACAGAGCCUGUUUGGAAAGAUUCUUGCGGCGCACUCGAAAAACCAGAUCCUUGUCACGUCGCUUCACUAAAAGUGUUUCUCUCUUUGAAGGAGAAGAAAGGCGGCAACGAGAUGUGGGGAGAAAAAACUUCAAGAGACUCUUAAAGAUGAACUUGAGAUUAAUUUUACUGCCAUACAAUAAUACAAACAAUUACAGAAAACAAACAAACAAACUCUUCAGAUUAUACUCAAACAAGAUGUGUGAAUCAGUCACUUCAUUGUCAAUAUUCAGUUGUUUGAAAAGAAGCUAAAGAAUCCAACUCGGACACAUAACAGUAACGGAACCACAUUAAGUGAGACCUGAACAACAUAAACUAGUGAAUAUCAACAAAAAUAUAAGUCAAAGUGUGUCCAAAACCCUGCAUUUUACAACAUGUUCGACUCCUAGUAAACUCGAACACAUGCUUGACUAAGUUAUUAUACUUUUCAAUGUUGUCUUCUCUCUCUCUGACUGUCCACCAUUUCAAACAUAGGCCUUGCUGCUGUCCACAGAGCGAGUCUUGGCGUACUUCACAUCAUAGUCAUUCUCAUCUCUGGGGGGACAGGAGCUGCAGAGGAGACCCCCACCCAGGAACAGCAGACCUGCCGCCCCCCAGCCAAUGUAGAGCGAGGCCCCCAGCUCCCUCCUCUGAGCAUUGGUCAUUGUGGGGUUGUAGAAAUCCCGGAUGAUGGUGUUGGCGGUCCAGCAGACGGGGAUUAGCACCAAGAGUCCUGCAAUGAUGAAGAUAAUUCCGGCAGCGAUGGCCACUUUGCACUUUUGCCUUUCAUCACUCACAAAGUUGGUGCACUUGCCUCCAACUAUGGAAAGGAGGACCCCAAAGACUCCGGCGAUGAUGGCGAUGAUGACGAGCGCCCUGGCGGCCUGCAGGUCCCGAGGUAAGGCCAGGAGAGAGUCGUAGACCUUGCACUGCAUCUGACCCGUACUUUGUGUCACACAGUUCAUCCACAAACCCUCCCAGAUCACCUGAGACGUGACGAUGUUGGCACCGAUGAAGGCUGUGACUUUCCAGGUGGGGAGAGCAACGAUGAUGAUGCUGCCCAGGAAGCCGAUGAAGGCCAGGGCUAUACCUAGAAUCUGUCUCCCAGCAGACACCAUGCUGAUGCUCUGUGGAUUUUCUCUGCAGGAACAAGACAAUGUGUUGCUGAGAGACAGUGGAGUUUACAAGUGAGAGAGACAAGAAGUAGGUGGUGGUAUUUAUUGGCCACUUGGGGAAGACGCCGAGAGUGGCUCAUUCUCAAAGAGGAGGGGUUUUCUGGCAGAAACUGGUUUGUGAAGUCACCUGACCAGAAUUCACAUCACUGGAGAAACUGUUUUUCUGUGUUCAGGGGGGUGAUGACAUCAGGCCUGAGUGGCUGUGCGUCACGAUGUUGCACGAGUGUGUUUUACAGACAGGAAGGCUGGUAUCGCUUUGUCUAACCACAUACGAUAUCGGUUUGGGGAGCGUAUACAUUUGAAGAUUGAGAUGAUCGCUCCAGCUGAGAAGCUGACUGAAACACUGGCAUUGGAGGCCAGAGAGGAUAAACAGAGAGAGAGAGAGAGAGCCUGAAAAUAUAGAAGAUACCAUUUGUGCUCA